GACGAACGCUGGCGGUAUGCUUAACACAUGCAAGUCGAACGAGAAGUCUUUUAUUGAACCUUCGGGGGAUAUAAGAGACAGACAGUGGCGAACGGGUGAGUAACGCGUGGGCAACCUACCUAUCGGAGCGGGAUAGCCUCGAGAAAUCGGGAGUAAAACCGCAUAACACGGAUAUAUCGCAUGAUGAAUCCGUCAAAACUCCGGUGCCGAUAGAUGGGCCCGCGUCUGAUUAGCUAGUUGGUAAGGUAAGGGCUUACCAAGGCAACGAUCAGUAGCCGGUCUGAGAGGGCGAACGGCCACACUGGAACUGAGACACGGUCCAGACUCCUACGGGAGGCAGCAGUGGGGAAUAUUGCGCAAUGGGGGCAACCCUGACGCAGCAAUACCGCGUGAGUGAAGAAGGUUUUCGGAUCGUAAAGCUCUGUUAUUGGGGAAGAAGCAGUGACGGUACCCAAUGAGGAAGUCCCGGCUAACUACGUGCCAGCAGCCGCGGUAAUACGUAGGGGACGAGCGUUGUCCGGAAUCACUGGGCGUAAGGGCGCGUAGGCGGUUUUAUAAGUCAGAUGUGAAAGGUACCGGCUCAACCGGUGACGUGCAUUUGAAACUGUAAGACUUGAGUACUGAAGAGGCAAGCGGAAUUCCUAGUGUAGCGGUGAAAUGCGUAGAUAUUAGGAAGAACACCGGUGGCGAAGGCGGCUUGCUGGGCAGAUACUGACGCUGAGGUGCGAAAGCGUGGGGAGCGAACAGG
rnacentral:rRNA from 1 species